rnacentral:rRNA from 1 species
UUAGACAUAAAUCAUUUACCCGAGUACUACGAACAAAGUUUAAAACUCAAAGAGCUUGGCGGUGCUUUAGACUCCUCAGGGGAACCUGUCUCGUAAUCGACAGUCCACGAACCAACCUCACCUUUAUCAGUAUGUAUACCGUCGUCGUCAGGUAACUUUUAAAAACAAAGAAGUUAGCAAAUUUUUACGUCAGAUCAAGGUGCAGCCUAUGAUAAGGAGUAGAUGGGUUACAAUUAAAACUUAUAAUUACGAAUUUAACCUCGUGAAGGCGGACUUGAAAGUAAAGCUUAGCAGCUAAAUGCCUUGAAUUAAGCUCUGAAGCG